GUAAUUUUGGAUUAUUCAGAGACUGAAUUGCUUUUAUUCAGCCGUCGCACUAUGUAUGAAGAUGAAAACAAUUGAAUCGGUAUUAAUCAAAAUUCUGAGUUGUUUUCAUCUAGAGAGUUUCAAAACCUGGAAAUUAGUGAAGACCCGCACUUUUUUGCUCAUAAUAGAUGAAAACAACUCAGAGUGAUGAAAACACUGUUUGCGAUGUUCGGAGCAGCAGGCAACGAAAAUAUCAUGGUAAGUACAAAUUUAAAUUCCAUAAUCUAUGCCAAUAUAAAAACAGUAUAUUUCAUGUGAUUUCAAAUGAAACAAAUUAAAUUUAACCGACUUAUCUUCUUUUGUAAACAUCUUUACCGAAUACGGGUUAAAUUUCAAAACAUUUUUUGUUUGUUCAUUUUUGUUUCCCUCCAGGUUGGUUUGCAACGCAACUUUUAGCCUAUGGGAUCGGUGGAGGCUCCGGCUGAAUAGCAGACCACUCCAUACAACCUUCAGGACCGAGAAUGUCUUCGGAUGGAAUCUGUAAGCCACAGGAGGACGAUGCUACUAAUCGAACCUGUAGAAAAUUGCUGGUCAUCAAAUGGCGAAAAACAAAAAUGCGACGGGUCUAUUCCCGCCGGGAAAUUCCGAAAAAUUGUAUCUCAAAGCCAUCCUCUAGGUGACACGAAUCGAAAAAAAAAACAUUACGCAGUCGGAUUUCUCGGUGGAUUCAGGCUUGCCAGAAUCAGCUCACUCCCAUAGUUUUUCUUCGAAAAUUCAGCGCUGCAUUAUUUCAUUCAUUGCCAUCUAUUUUACAACCGGGUUGUUCGCUUUGCUUAUAUGCCCGGAUCACCAAUUUGUCACCAAACUUGGUGAUCAUCAGACGAUUCUAAUCAGUCCGGAACUUGACGUCGUAACAGGAUUUUAGCUAGUGAGAGCAUAUAAUUAUCAGUCGCUUCAAUAAUACUGGAAUUUCCUUCGACUCAAAAGGUAUUGACUCGAUUCAUAUUUUCCACCUAAACUAUUCAUAAGAAUGCGUACCUAUUUUAAAUAUUUUUUUUACUUACUAGAAAUGAAGCCAUCCAACAACCUGAACGACACCGAACAAACAAAAAUAGUUUAAAAAAAUGCUCACAACAAGGACGAAUUGGGAUUUUUAUGUUUAAUAUUAAAUGUUCGUGAAAUGAAUAAUGCAAACAAUGCUUCGACUGAUCGGAGAGUUGUUGGAGGUAUGGGAGGGCCGAACCAGAUUGGAGGAAUGCAACUUUAGCCAGAGCACCCACAACCUGAAAAGCAAGCCGGUGAACCAGGAGGCGCUAAAUAAAUGGACCGAACAAAAUAAAUUUAUUUAUCUGUCUGUAGAAUCUGUCAACAGAAUUCCCCAGGAAUGGAUCAAAAUCCUCAACAAAUGGACCAUGAGCCAAAUGAAUCGAAACGUUGGAAGUCCAGGUGGAAGUGCCACUGUAAGUUGGAACUUAGCAGCUGGCUCAAGCCGGAAUGGCAGGAAUAUGUCCAGGUGGACCGAAUAAUUUGCAAACAGCUCCAGGUCAACAACCAAAUCAAAAUGCACCAAAUGUUGGACCGGGUCAUUUGAAUCCUAGAAACGUGGAUCCUGGUGGAAACAUUCCCGGAUGGGUCCUUCGUCUUUGCUAUAGUUGAUAUCCUCACGGAUGGAUAUCAGAAUAGGAAAAAAAUAUUUUGAAAAAAAUUGGAUACACCAUUGGCAGCUAUGACGCCAUUCAAAUAUGUCGAUGUUUGCGCAAUGGAACUAUUCAUCAAAACCUAGAGAUUUUCACAGGCGCAGAUAAUCUUCGGUAGGUUAAGUUUAGUUUUUUUUUUUGCAAUAAAUCAGGAUUCAAUACAAAAUUUAUCGAAAACGACAGCCGCAUUACUAUCAGCAUUACGAAGGUGGAGGUGGUCGUUUUGGGCUGGCCAGAAUGAACACACUUUCAAGUUGUUCGGGAAUUUUGCUAGAUUGAAUUCCUCCGGAUGUGGCUAAGGUACCGGGAUCGGCGGAAGUUAUACCACACCAGACGCUCCUCAAGAGCAUGAACGGCAUCAGGAAAUUCGUUUGUUUGCAUGAUGGAAACGAAGUGGUACUCCACAACAGAAAAAAAAUUGCUGGCUGCCCUUACUAAUUCCGGUGGAAAAAAAUCGACGGGAAAUAAACGUAUUUUC